GGGAGGUGAGGUGGGGGGAGCUGCCACGGGGCAGGUCAAACUGGAGAGUGGACAGAGGACGUUCUGAGGAGCCUGCUAGAGGCGUGUUUCGAAUUUCGGCGCAGCAUGAGGACCCAGACAGGCAAGACUCCAGCCUCCGUGUUUGGAACACUUGAGAAUUGAGGAAGGAAAAGCCAAGAAACCACCUGAGGCAAGGAACCUGGAGGAACCCCCCGCCGGGUCAACCACUGCCCGCAUCUCUGCCGAUCGAUGGGGGGCGCUCCAGCUUGAGAAGUCAAGCCUCUCUCCUGCCGACACACCCACUGGGCCCGAUUUCCUCUUCAUUCUUAGUUAGAAGCCGGUUUCGGGUCAGCAGCGGUACCGUUGGCUGGGAAAAGCCAAAGGGCUACGCCAGGUGCUGGUCUCGGGAAUCGCCCCUCGGGUCUGCCCUCCUCUGGUUCCUUGGGGCUCUUGGCGUGAUGAGCCGGCCCUGCCCAGCAACCAGUCGCUAUCUCCCGCCCUUCUGCACCUAAAACCCUCUAGGGGGUUGCAGGUUCAGCUUCACUUAGAGACCGCAGCUCUUGAGUUCAAGUUAGUUAGAAAAACACAGGCAGGAAUGGGGACUCGGGUGAGGUGUCUGAAGCUGGCCGCAGACUUUCUCUCCGGAACUGGGAGAGCCUCUUCGGAAAGCCCAAAGAGCUGCCCGCCCAUCCAUGAAAAAACUGCUGGGGUUGGUGCUGGUAACAUCUCGGGGAGAGCGAGGUGCCGCCCCCAGCUACUGGGAAAUCCCAGGGGUGGCGCUGGCUGUGGGUGGGGCCGGGGUGGGGUCCCGGCGGAGGGCGGGGCCUACCUGGGCGCCAGGGUGUGCCAGCCUAGCCCUGCACAGCCGAGGUGGUAGUGGCCCAGGUCUGUGGCUCGCGCUCUACCUGCCCCUGAACCUC